AUGUCGGAAAUCAUCUUGGAAAACAAACCUAAGCUCAUCAAAUGGCUUAGUUUGGAUUAUAAAUUUGUUUUGCAACAUGUUCAAGCUAAAAAACUUAUAACACACUCGCACUAUGAUGACUUGAUGGCCAUGAAGGCGAGCGACAGUAUCAUCAAACUUCUGGACAUCAUCCGUAGAAGAGGAGAAAAUGUGUGUCGAGAUUUUCUGGAUUUGCUAAAAGAUGAUGAUGUGAAUGAAAUAUCGCCGGAGCUAAGAGACUGGGUCAAAACAGUUGACUCAGAAGACCAGAAAACAGAAAAAUACAAAGGAAGAGCAAGUGUUAACAGACCUAAACAAGAAACUGCCAACAUGACAGGACAAUCACGCAUCCAAGUAAACAGCCAAAUCUCUGCAUCAGAUGGCAGCAGUGUAAUUUCGCCUACCAUAAUUGGUGGAAAUCUAGGGUCCUUUAUAAUGAAUACGACGGUUGCACCCUCUGGCAGAUCAGAUGUGCAGACAAAUUACCAAGAAACCUGAUAGAGACUGUGAACACAGGCCAGUACAAGAUUAUCAGAAGUUUCUAAAAUAAAACACCAGUCUGCUGGUUCAACAAGUGAAGAACAUUGAUCCAAUUAUUGAUGAUCUCGACCUACAUGAUGAAUCCGUUGCAGUUGUGAGAGUGAAGCCAACAGAUCAAGAGAAGAUGAGGAAACUGCUUACCGAACUGCUGAACAGCUACUGAGUGUUGUAUUGUUUACCCACCAGAUUAGCAGCAUGUUAUUAAAGGAAAUGGAAUAUUGUACUGUCAAUGCCAACAAUAAAUUUUUUAAUGUUUUGAUAGUAAAAGUGAUAGUUCUUGGAGUUUUCCUUUUUUAUAUAAAUUGAGAACCAAGUAUAUUGUACAAACAGGCCUACAUGUAACCAAACAUGUCAGGGAUAUAUAUAUAUAUAUAUAUGUAUAUAUAUAUGUGUGUGUGUGUGUGUGUGUGUGUGUGCAUUUUACAUAUUAACCUUUUGUAUAGGUUGCACUGCUUUAAAGUUUUUUUUUAUUGUUUCUAAAUAUAAAUAUUUUAAUGUUGAUUUUAAAUCGUUUAAACAGUGGCAGUUGUUAAUUACAUUUUAUCAAUAUAACGGCUUGCUAUGAAGCACACUUGGAUUUUGGAUGGCAUUUUACAUCGAUCUAUCUAAAAUUCUAUUAACUUAAAAAGCACAUUUCUACUAGUCUAUUUGCAUAGUUUUACUACUGGCGAAAUUAGCUCUCAGAGUCAUGACAGACCCACCCCCCCAAACCUCCCACCGGUUUCACGUACAGCCGUUUACACCCAUGUCAAACACAAACACAACUGGAGGUGCAGUAGAAGAACUCAGUCACUAGGUGGGGAUGGUGGUUCAGUACAACGAGUGAAGAGACGGAAGAAGGGGCUUGAACCGUGUCUAAAAGCACCUGUUGGCACAGGUAAAAAUAAAUACAAAUAUAAUAUGAAUUGUAAUUCAUUGCUCAAUCUAUAGAGAUUUAUUACACUCAGGUGGGUAAGUUACAGUUAUAUUUAUGGUCACAGCACCUAGCAGAUUCUGUUUGGGGAUGCAUUCAUGCUGCUUGGUGGUUUGAGGUUUGUUUUUGUAAACCGUUUGUAAGGAUUGCUUCAUUCUCAUCUAUUAGACUGUGGGGAAUUGUGGGAAAUUGUAAGCGCUCAGAAGGGCACACAGAGAACCUUGUCAGGCAUUACUGCACUAGAGAUUACAUAAAAAGUAACAUUUUUAAUGUGGUUGCAGCAAUCAGAGCUAGAGAACCAGGCUUUAGGUCUGUGUCUUUACUGUGCUCUAACAUUACUAUUUUGUAUUUUGAUGACAUUUUAGUUUACAUUUUAUUGUAAAUAAAUUUGCUUCAUGUAUGUUGAAUAUUUAUUUAUUUAUAACAAAUCUGAUGUCAAACAUCUGUGGAAC
ensembl:lncRNA